rnacentral:rRNA from 1 species
GUCGGGCUGAAGACCUUACCCGAUUAGCUGAGAGGUGGUGCAUGGCCGUCGUCAGUUCGUACUGUGAAGCAUCCUGUUAAGUCAGGCAACGAGCGAGACCCACGUCCACAGUUGCCAGCAUACCCUCCGGGGUGAUGGGUACACUGUGGAGACCGCCGCUGCUAAAGCGGAGGAAGGAGUGGGCAACGGUAGGUCAGUAUGCCCCGAAUCUCCCGGGCUACACGCGGGCUACAAUGGUUGGUACAAUGGGCAUCUACCCCGAAAGGGGAAGGAAAUCUCUUAAAGCCAAUCGUAGUUCGGAUUGAGGGCUGCAACUCGCCCUCAUGAAGCUGGAAUCCGUAGUAAUCGCGUUUCAACAGAACGCGGUGAAUACGUCCCUGCUCCUU